AACUUCCCUGGUGGUCCAGUAGUUAAGAAUCCGCCUGCCAAGGCAGGGGACACGGGUUCAGUCACUGGUCCAGGAAGAUUCU
ensembl:miRNA